rnacentral:rRNA from 1 species
GAUGAACGCUAGCGGCAGGCCUAAUACAUGCAAGUCGGACGGGAUUCAGGAGCUUGCUUCUGAUGAGAGUGGCGCACGGGUGCGUAACACGUAUGUAACCUACCUUUAUCAGGGGGAUAGCCUCUCGAAAGAGAGAUUAAGCCCGCAUAAAAUCACAGCACAGCAUUGUGUAAUGAUCAAAUAUUUAUAGGAUAAAGAUGGGCAUGCGGAACAUUAGCUAGAUGGCGGGGUAACGGCCCACCAUGGCGACGAUGUUUAGGGGAUCUGAGAGGAUGGCCCCCCGCACUGGUACUGAGACACGGACCAGACUCCUACGGGAGGCAGCAGUAAGGAAUAUUGGUCAAUGGGCGGAAGCCUGAACCAGCCAUGCCGCGUGCAGGAAGACGGCCCUACGGGUUGUAAACUGCUUUUAUACGGGAAUAAACCCAGAUACGUGUAUCUGGCUGAAUGUACUGUAAGAAUAGGGAUCGGCUAACUCCGUG